AAUAAACGCUGGCGGCGUGCCUAACACAUGCAAGUCGAGCGAGAAAGCUCCUUCGGGAGUUAGUAAAGCGGCGAACGGGUGAGCAACACGUGAGAAUCUACCCUUUAGUGAAGAAUACCCUCGAGAAAUCGAGGCUAAUACUGCAUACGUCCCUUCGGGGAGAAAGAUGGCCUCUUUGCUAUCGCUAAAGGAUGAGCUUGCGUACUAUUAGCUAGUUGGCGGGGUAAAGGCCCACCAAGGCAAUGAUGGUUAACCGGCCUGAGAGGGUGUACGGUCACACUGGAACUUAGACACGGUCCAGACUCCUACGGGAGGCAGCAGUGAGGAAUCUUGCGCAAUGGGCGAAAGCCUGACGCAGCGACGCCGCGUGGAGGAUGACGGUUUUCGGAUUGUAAACUCCUGUUAAGCGGGAAGAAAGCCUUGUUUCUAAUACAAGCAAGGUAUGACGGUACCGCUAGAGAAAGACACCGGCUAACUUCGUGCCAGCAGCCGCGGUAAAGUGCGCG
rnacentral:rRNA from 1 species